GGGACACGUGGUAUCCUGUCUGAAUAUGGGGGGACCAUCCUCCAAGGCUAAAUACUCCUGACUGACCGAUAGUGAACCAGUACCGUGAGGGAAAGGCGAAAAGAACCCCGGCGAGGGGAGUGAAAAAGAACCUGAAACCGUGUACGUACAAGCAGUGGGAGCACCUUCGGGUGUGACUGCGUACCUUUUGUAUAAUGGGUCAGCGACUUAUAUUCUGUAGCAAGGUUAACCGUAUAGGGGAGCCGCAGGGAAACCGAGUCUUAACUGGGCGUUAAGUUGCAGGGUAUAGACCCGAAACCCGGUGAUCUAGC
rnacentral:rRNA from 2 species